rnacentral:lncRNA from 1 species
CGUAAGUAAUCAUUAUUUUUAAAAAUUAACUUAACAAUAUUAUGAAUUGGGGUUUUGCUUAUCUUUGUCUAAUAUGUGCUUUAUUUUUUGAUAGACAAUUGAGCUGACUGAGGAAGAAAAGGUCUACCUCAAUCAACUGAGCAAAAUCAACCAGUUUUAUCAGGCAUGGAAUCUUCCCCAGUAUCUUGAGGCUUAUCAUCAACAGCACAGUGUUAGGAACCCAUGGAAUCACAUUAAGACAAAUGGCUAUCAUCUAUUUCCCCUUCUGGAAAAAGAGUACCUGUCCUCCAGUGAGGUGAGGGGCUUUCCUGUGAGGACAGAAACAUGGCAUCCAGAAACAGAGAUUAAGAGGUCACUGAAUAAUAAUGUGACUCCAAGAGUCCUGGUGCCCAUCCUCAAUUUGACAAAAUGGCUGAGAGGAAUCCGACUUGGGGUAAGGACUCAACUUCAUACGUCAAGUUCUAAUUUCCAAAUAUCUUCCUACCAAUGCUGCAUAAGCUAAAUG